GAUGAAGAACGUAGCGAAAUGCGAUAAGUAAUGUGAAUUGCAGAAUUCAGUGAAUCAUCGAAUCUUUGAACGCACAUUGCGCCCGCCAGUAUUCUGGCGGGCAUGCCUGUUCGAGCGUCAUUUCAACCAUCAAGCCCUGCUUGCGUUGGGGUCCUGCGGCUGCCCGCAGGCCCUGAAAACCAGUGGCGGGCUCGCUAGUCACACCGAGCGCAGUAAUACAUCUCGCUUUGGCGUGCGGCGGGUUCUUGCCGUUAAACACCCCCUUUUUACCAAGGUUGACCUCGGAUCAGGUAGGAAUACCCGCUGAACUUAAGCAUAUCAAUAAGCGGAGGA
rnacentral:misc_RNA from 1 species